rnacentral:rRNA from 1 species
UACAGAGGUCCCAAGCGUUGUUCGGAUUCACUGGGCGUAAAGGGUGCGUAGGCGGUCGGGUAAGUCUGAUGUGAAAUCUCCGGGCUCGAACCCGGAAAUGGCAUUGGAUACUAUUCGGCUCGAGGUCUGGAGGGGGGACUGGAAUACUUGGUGUAGCAGUGAAAUGCGUAGAUAAUCAAGUGGAACACCAGUGGCGAAGGCGAGUCCCUG